rnacentral:rRNA from 1 species
GCGAGUGAAGCGGCAAAAGCUCAAAUUUGAAAUCUGGCGUCUUUGGCGUCCGAGUUGUAAUUUGAAGAAGGUAUCUUUGGGCCCGGCUCUUGUCUAUGUUCCUUGGAACAGGACGUCACAGAGGGUGAGAAUCCCGUGCGAUGAGAUGACCCGGGUCUGUGUAAAGUUCCUUCGACGAGUCGAGUUGUUUGGGAAUGCAGCUCUAAGUGGGUGGUAAAUUCCAUCUAAAGCUAAAUAUUGGCGAGAGACCGAUAGCGAACAAGUACAGUGAUGGAAAGAUGAAAAGAACUUUGAAAAGAGAGUGAAAAAGUACGUGAAAUUGUUGAAAGGGAAGGGCUUGAGAUCAGACUUGGUAUUUUGCAUGUUGCUCUCUCGGGGGCGGCCGCUGCGGUUUACCGGGCCAGCAUCGGUUUGGAGCGGCAGGAUAAUGGCGGAGGAAUGUGGCACGGCUUCUGCUGUGUGUUAUAGCCUCUGACGAUACUGCCAGCCUAGACCGAGGACUGCGGUU